CUUGGUUUAGAGGAAGUAAAAGUCGUAACAAGGUUUCCGUAGGUGAACCUGCGGAAGGAUCAUUAACACGUUUUAUUAAACCAAAACGUACUAAAACUCUGUGAACGAGAUUUCCAAUAGAUCUUAUGAACUAUUGGGUCCAUAAAUCUCACCAUUUUUUUCAAUAUCACCAACCCCUAAAACUACCUAAUAUAUAUAUGUAAUUCCUUCGGGAAUUAUAUUAUAUGUAUGUUGUAUGUUUGUAACUAAAUUUUUUUUCAUUUCAUGCCUAAAAAACAUGGAAGCAAAAAGAUGGUAUUAUCUUCGGAUAUAUCUUAUCUUUUUAUGAACCAAAACUGUUGUACAACUCUUAGCAACGGAUAUCUUGGUUCCC
rnacentral:misc_RNA from 1 species